UUGGAGGGCAAGUCUGGUGCCAGCAGCCGCGGUAAUUCCAGCUCCAAUAGCGUAUAUUAAAGUUGUUGCAGUUAAAAAGCUCGUAGUUGAAUUUCGGGAUUGACACAUCGGUCGUGCCUUAAGGGGUAUGAACUGGUGUAGUCAAUUUCUCACCUUCUGGAGAACCACGAUGCCCUUAAUUGGGUGUCGCGGGGAACCAGGACCUUUACUUUGAAAAAAUUAGAGUGUUUAAAGCAGGCAUUUUGCUUGAAUACAUUAGCAUGGAAUAAUAAAAUAGGACGGCAUGAUUCUAUUUUGUUGGUUUCUAGGAUCACCGUAAUGAUUAAUAGGGAUAGUUGGGGGCAUUAGUAUUCAAUUGUCAGAGGUGAAAUUCUUGGAUUUAUUGAAGACUAACUACUGCGAAAGCAUUUGCCAAGGAUGUUUUCAUUAAUCAAGAACGAAAGUUAGGGGAUCGAAGACGAUCAGAUACCGUCGUAGUCUUAACCAUAAACUAUGCCGAUUAGGGAUCGGACGAAGUUAAUUUUAUAAUGACGCGUUCGGCACCUUACGGGAAACCAAAGUGUUUGGGUUC
rnacentral:rRNA from 1 species